UACAGAGGGUGCGAACGUUGCUCGGAAUUACUGGGCGUAAAGCGCAUGUAGGCGGAUCCAUAAGUCGAACGUGAAAUCCCCGGGCUCAACCCGGGAACUGCGUCCGAUACUGGAAGGCUUGAAUCCGGGAGAGGGAUGUGGAAUUCCAGGUGUAGCGGUGAAAUGCGUAGAUAUCUGGAGGAACACCGGUGGCGAAGGCGACAUCCUGGACCGGUAUUGACGCUGAGGCGCGAAAGCCAGGGGAGCAAACGGG
rnacentral:rRNA from 1 species